UGUGCCAGCAGCCGCGGUAACACCGGCGGCCCGAGUGGUAGCCGCUAUUAUUGGGUCUAAAGGGUCCGUAGCCGGUUCGAUAAGUCCUCUGGGAAAUCUGGUUGCUUAACAAUCAGACUGCCAAGGGAUACUGUCGAACUUGAGACCGGGAGAGGUAAGAGGUACUUCAGGGGUAGGAGUGAAAUCUUGUAAUCCCUGGGGGACCAUCUGUGGCGAAGGCGUCUUACCAGAACGGGUCUGACGGUGAGGGACGAAAGCUGGGGGCGCAAACCGGAUUAGAUACCCGGGUAGUCCCAGCCGUAAACGAUGCUCGCUAUGUGUCAGGUACGGUGUGACCGUAUCUGGUGCCGUAGGGAAGCCGUGAAGCGAGCCACCUGGGAAGUACGGUCGCAAGACUGAAACUCAAAGGAAUU
rnacentral:rRNA from 1 species